rnacentral:rRNA from 1 species
GAACGCUGGCGGCGUGCCUAAUACAUGCAAGUCGAGCGAACAGACGAGGAGCUUGCUCCUCUGACGUUAGCGGCGGACGGGUGAGUAACACGUGGAUAACCUACCUAUAAGACUGGGAUAACUUCGGGAAACCGGAGCUAAUACCGGAUAAUAUAUUGAACCGCAUGGUUCAAUAGUGAAAGACGGUUUUGCUGUCACUUAUAGAUGGAUCCGCGCCGCAUUAGCUAGUUGGUAAGGUAACGGCUUACCAAGGCAACGAUGCGUAGCCGACCUGAGAGGGUGAUCGGCCACACUGGAACUGAGACACGGUCCAGACUCCUACGGGAGGCAGCAGUAGGGAAUCUUCCGCAAUGGGCGAAAGCCUGACGGAGCAACGCCGCGUGAGUGACGAAGGUCUUCGGAUCGUAAAACUCUGUUAUUAGGGAAGAACAAAUGUGUAAGUAACUAUGCACGUCUUGACGGUACCUAAUCAGAAAGCCACGGCUAACUACGUG